rnacentral:rRNA from 1 species
GACGAACGCUGGCGGCGUGCUUAACACAUGCAAGUCGAGCGGUAAGGCCCUUUCGGGGGUACACGAGCGGCGAACGGGUGAGUAACACGUGGGUGACCUGCCCUCAGCUCUGGGAUAAGCCUGGGAAACCGGGUCUAAUACUGGAUAUGACUCCAUGACGCAUGUUGUGGGGUGGAAAGCCUUGUGCGGCUGAGGAUGGGCCCGCGGCCUAUCAGCUUGUUGGUGGGGUGANGGCCUACCAAGGCGACGACGGGUAGCCGGCCUGAGAGGGCGACCGGCCACACUGGGACUGAGACACGGCCCAGACUCCUACGGGAGGCAGCAGUGGGGAAUCUUGCGCAAUGGGCGAAAGCCUGACGCAGCGACGCCGCGUGAGGGAUGACGGCCUCGGUUGUAACGUA